UACGGAGGGGGCUAGCGUUGUUCGGAAUUACUGGGCGUAAAGCGCACGUAGGCGGACUGUUAAGUCGGGGGUGAAAUCCUGGGGCUCAACCUCAGAAUUGCCUCCGAUACUGGCAGUCUCGAGUGCGGGGAGAGGUGAGUGGAAUUCCCAGUGUAGAGGUGAAAAUUUCGUAGAUAUUGGGGAAGAACACCAGUGGCGAAGGCAGCUC
rnacentral:rRNA from 1 species